rnacentral:lncRNA from 1 species
GUGUCCGGGACGGAGAGCAGGGCUGGGCCCGGCCCGGGAAUUGGCCGGUUCCCUCAAAGCUCCAGGGCUAGCCGGGGGCUCUGGUUGUUCUAAAAAAUCUCAGAGUCCAGCCGAACUGGGCUGUUUGGGACAGGGCGUCCCCCCUGACUCAGGCCACUGAAACUGGCCCCUCCUGAUCGUCCGCCUGCUGGACUCUGCUGUUUGUGGCGAAGCCCGUACUUCAACACGGGUGGCCCCCCUACCAGAAAGGGACAGGCCAGUAUUUCGAGGCGACGGCUGCUCCCCUUCUAAAGACAGCAGAGGUUCGCAGGAAGUAAGACCUGUCCAACAGGUUCGAAAACUAAAGUCCAAAGAUGUUAAGGGACCAGUGGACCUGAACAUGGUUUCGUUGACUCCCAGUUUCUGAACCAAAAAUAACUGAAACAUUGGACUAACAAGGUUCGACAUAGGAUCAGUAGAGGGGUCCACGAAAAACAAAAAUGAAAGAACCACGCA